UUCUGCAGGAUUGUGGUCACAGCUGACAUGAACAAAGGAGUGGUUUCCAGCAGCGCUAAGCUCUACAACUACAUGCUGGACCUGAAACUCAGCCACAGUCUGGCGUCGGGUGUGAGUGACCAUUACCCUGUGGAGGUGCAGCUGUCCUGAGACUCAAGAACCGCUUUAAAAUCCUCCAGGAGGAAUUUUAAUUAGGAUUACUCUAAUUUCGGCAACCAUCUUUGAAUUGACCAAAAAUAAACACAUUCGCAGAUUA